CUUCCGCAAUCGACGCAAGCCCCACACAGCGAUGGACGCAACUAAACCCAACCUCCUCUAGGGUUUGUGGCCGCCAAUGAGAAAGAACCGGCGGCUACGGCGGCGAUGGCGACUUGCGGGGCAAGGCCAGGAUUGCAAGACCAUUGAUCUGGAGGACGUGUGAAACUUCAUGCACAUGGGCAUCAACAUCCUUGAGGACAAGCUAGAGCCGCACUUGAACUCCGAGGACUCGUAAUGCUCUACACUUGGUUAUACAACAUGUGUACGCAGAACCACCCUCACGACUACUCGCAGUAGCUCGGGCGACGUUUAAGUUUUGCAUCGACAAGACAGGAUUUUUGCAAGACAAUUAACUGAUGCACUUCCAGGCACAACAAUUUGUAAAUCUCUGAAUUUAAGAAGGCCACCAACAUCUUGCUCGACUUGGUGGACCUGCUUAUGCCACUUCUCCCUUAUCUACCUUGAUGGUCGAUCCGGUCGUCGGUGUCUCCAGUUCCCCCAUGUGGCAUGGUUGAAGGUAUUCAUGAUGGCCUAUUCAAAGUUACAUUGGACAGAUACCGAGUUGCUGAUGGAAUAUGUUUUUCUUUCGUACGGCUUUUCAUUUGUGCUAUAUUGUUAACCGUUAGUUUGCAAUGGCAUUUCGUUUGUUUUAAGACUUGCAAGUAAGUGAUUACUACUGGUUUUGCUACAUUGGUACAUUUUAAGAUCAGUUAAACAAGAUGAUCUUUCUCUACAAGUUUCCGUGUAUGUGGCAACAAUAUUUUUUGUCUCCUAUAGUUAUUUUUGUUCUAAAAGAUAGUUAAUGAUUUAUUUGUACUUUUUUCUUUUGAGAAUCACUUGCACUUUGAUGAUAUUCCAGAAAUAAGUAUAGUUGUUCAGCGCAGGGAACAAGAUAAUCGCACAUACAUGGAUCCUACAUCUAAAUUUAUUCCUUUUUCAUUCGUCUAUAUCUAUGUUGAUUCUGAUGCAAUAUUUUCAUGUAUAUAAAAGGCAAGUGUUAUCAUUGAAAGUCUUCUUCGUUUCAAAUGUUUUGUAUUAACACUAUUGUUACUACUAGAUCCAAGCAAUGCUUUUGUAUGCACAACAUUUAAAAGAUAU